rnacentral:tRNA from 1 species
GUUUUAAUAGUUUAAAUAAAACAUUGAUUUUGUAAAUCAAAGAAAAAUGUUUAAUUUUUAAAACU